AAUUCUCAACCUCCUCGGUUUCUUUUGGACGCCGAAGGAGGCUUGGACUUUGGAGGGCUUUGCUGGACUUGAAAGGCCAGCUCCUCUCAAAUGAAUUAGCGAGGUUCCCUUUGCCGAUCCUCGACGUGUGAUAAGAUGCUUCCACGUCUCGGUCUUUGGCUCUGUCGCCUUUCGGGACCUGCUUCCAAUCGUCUCUUGACGAGACAACGUUCGAGCUCGUCUCGACCACAUAC
rnacentral:misc_RNA from 1 species